AUUGAACGCUGGCGGCAGGCUUAACACAUGCAAGUCGAGCGGAGAUGAGGUGCUUGCACCUUAUCUUAGCGGCGGACGGGUGAGUAAUGCUUAGGAAUCUGCCCAUUAGUGGGGGACAACAUUCCGAAAGGAAUGCUAAUACCGCAUACGUCCUACGGGAGAAAGAAGGGGAUCUUCGGACCUUGCGCUAAUAGAUGAGCCUAAGUCGGAUUAGCUAGUUGGUGGGGUAAAGGCUUACCAAGGGGACGAUCUGUAGCGGGUCUGAGAGGAUGAUCCGCCACACUGGGACGGAGACACGGCCCAGACUCCUACGGGAGGCAGCAGUGGGGAAUAUUGGACAAUGGGGGGAACCCUGAUCCAGCCAUGCCGCGUGUGUGAAGAAGGCCUUAUGGUUGUAAAGCACUUUAAGCGAGGAGGAGGCUACUGAGACUAAUACUCUUGGAUAGUGGACGUUACUCGCAGAAUAAGCACCGGCUAACUCUGUGCCAGCAGCCGCCGUAA
rnacentral:rRNA from 1 species